GACGAACGCUGGCGGCGUGCUUAACACAUGCAAGUCGAACGCAGUGGCGAACGGGUGAGUAACGCGGAAUCAACCUGCCCUUCAGAGGGGGACAACAGUUGGAAAAGACUGCUAAUACCGCAUACUGAAGGAGGGGAGUGCGUCGGAUUAGCUAGUUGGCGGGUUAACGGCCCACCAAGGCGAUGAUGAGUAGCCGGUCUGUGAGGAUGAACGGCCACAUUGGGACUGAGACACGGCCCAGACUCCUACGGGAGGCAGCAGUGGGGAAUCUUCCGCAAUGGACGAAAGUCUGACGGAGCAACGCCGCGUGAGUGAUGACGGCCUUCGGGUUGUAAAGCUCUGUUAAUCGGGACGCGGUACCGGAAUAGAAAGCCACGGCUAACUACGUGCCAGCAGCCGCGGUAAUUC
rnacentral:rRNA from 1 species